rnacentral:tRNA from 1 species
AAAUAUGAAGCAAUAUUGCAUUUAAUUUCGACUUAAUUUUUUGAGUUUAAUUACUCCUUAUUUA